GAUGAACGCUGGCGGCGUGCCUAAUACAUGCAAGUCGAGCGAACGGACGAGAAGCUUGUUUUUCUGAUGUUAGCGGCGGACGGGUGAGUAGCCCGUGGAUAACCUACAUAUAAGACUGGGAUAACUUCGGGAAAUAGGAGCUAAUAACGGACAAUCUUUUGAAACGCAUGGUUCAACAGUGAAAGACGGUCUUGAUGUCACUUAUAGAUGGAUCCGCGCUGCAUUAGCUAGUUGGUAAGGCAACGGCUUACCAAGGCAACGAUGCAUAGCCGACCUGAGAGGGUGAUCGGCCACACUGGAACUGAGACACGAUCCAGACUCCUACGGGAGGCAGCAGUAGGGAAUCUUCCGCGAUGGGCGAAAGCCUGACGGAGCGACGCUGCGUGAGUUAUGAAGGUCGUCAGAUCGUAAAACUCUGUUAUUAGGGAAGAACAUAUGUGUAAGUAACUGUGCACAUCUUGACGGUACCUAAUCAGAAAGCCACGGCUAACUACGUG
rnacentral:rRNA from 1 species